GACGAACGCUGGCGGCGUGCUUAACACAUGCAAGUCGAACGGAAAGGCCCUGCUUUUGUGGGGUGCUCGAGUGGCGAACGGGUGAGUAACACGUGAGUAACCUGCCCUUGACUUUGGGAUAACUUCAGGAAACUGGGGCUAAUACCGGAUAGGAGCUCCUGCUGCAUGGUGGGGGUUGGAAAGUUUCGGCGGUUGGGGCUGGACUCGCGGCUUAUCAGCUUGUUGGUGGGGUAGUGGCUUACCAAGGUUUUGACGGGUAGCCGGCCUGAGAGGGUGACCGGCCACAUUGGGACUGAGAUACGGCCCAGACUCCUACGGGAGGCAGCAGUGGGGAAUAUUGCACAAUGGGCGGAAGCCUGAUGCAGCAACGCCGCGUGCGGGAUGACGGCCUUCGGGUUGUAAACCGCUUUCGCCUGUGACGAAGCGUGAGUGACGGUAAUGGGUAAAGAAGCACCGGCUAACUACGUG
rnacentral:rRNA from 1 species